CUGACUCCUGACUUCCCACCCUGGGGCAG
rnacentral:piRNA from 1 species